GGGGGAAUAGCUCAUUGGUAGAGCAUGUGCUUAGCAUGCAUGAGGUCGUGAGUUAAAUCCCCAGUACUUCUC
rnacentral:tRNA from 1 species